rnacentral:sRNA from 1 species
AUCACCUAUUAUGAAUUGUUUUUUCUCCAUAUAUAUACGUUGGGUUAUAUCUUAUUUCAAGUGGGUAGCUUAUACUCUCUCUGUUCCUUUUUGUUUGAUUGUUUAGAAAAAACACACAUAUUAAGAAAAUAUAUUAAAUGUUGAUUAUAAAUGUAUUAUUUUUAGUGUUUUACAGUUUUCUAUAACUCUAAACCAAUGAUAGUUAACUAUUUUUCUUGAAAAUUACAAUUCACCAAUACUAACCAAUAAAUAUUACAUAGAAAACUUAAAAAAUUA